rnacentral:piRNA from 1 species
UACAAAUAUUCUAUAGUGUCUACCUU